rnacentral:rRNA from 1 species
CCGACGGUGAGGGAUGAAAGCUGGGGGAAGCAAACCGGAUUAGAUACCCGGGUAGUCCCAGCUGUAAACUAUGCAAACUCAGUGAUGCAUUGGCUUGUGGCCAAUGCAGUGCUGCAGGGAAGCCGUUAAGUUUGCCGCCUGGGAAGUACGUACGCAAGUAUGAAACUUAAAGGAAUUGGCGGGGGAGCACCACAAGGGGUGAAGCCUGCGGUUCAAUUGGAGUCAACGCCAGAAAUCUUACCCGGAGAGACAGCAGAAUGAAGGUCAAGCUGAAGACUUUACCAGACAAGCUGAGAGGUGGUGCAUGGCCGUCGCCAGCUCGUGCCGUGAGAUGUCCUGUUAAGUCAGGUAACGAGCGAGAUCCCUGCCUCUAGUUGCCACCAUUACUCUCAGGAGUAGUGGGGCGAAUUAGCGGGACCGCCGCAGUUAAUGCGGAGGAAGGAAGGGGCCACGGCAGGUCAGUAUGCCCCGAAACUCUGGGGCCACACGCGGGCUGCAAUGGUAACGACAAUUGGUUUCGAAUCCGAAAGGAUGAGGUAAUCCUCAAACGUUACCACAGUUAUGACUGAGGGCUGCAACUCGCCCUCACGAAUAUGGAAUCCCUAGUAACUGCGUGUCAUUAUCGCGCGGUGAAUACGUCCCUGCUCCUUGCACACACCGCCCGU